AGCUCCAUUAGCGUAUAUUAAAGUUGUUGCAGUUAAAAAGCUCGUAGUUGGAUUUCGGUGUGGGCCCGUCGGUCGGCCGCAAGGCCUGUUACUGACUGGUCCGCUCUUCCUCUCAAAGACUGCACGUGCCCUUCGCUGGGUGUGUGUAUCGGAUUUGGGACGUUUACUUUGAAAAAAUUAGAGUGUUCAAAGCAGGCUCGUCGCCUGAAUACUGGUGCAUGGAAUAAUGGAAUAGGACCUCGGUUCUGUUUUGUUGGUUUUCGGAACUGGAGGUAAUGAUUAAGAGGGACGGACGGGGGCAUUCGUAUUACGGUGUUAGAGGUGAAAUUCUUGGAUCGCCGUAAGACGAACUACUGCGAAAGCAUUUGCCAAGAAUGUUUUCAUUAAUCAAGAACGAAAG
rnacentral:rRNA from 1 species